rnacentral:rRNA from 1 species
GGACUACAGGGGUAUCUAAUCCUGUUCGCUCCCCACGCUUUCGCUCCUCAGCGUCAGUAUCGGCCCAGAGACCCGCCUUCGCCACCGGUGUUCCUCCUGAUAUCUGCGCAUUCCACCGCUACACCAGGAAUUCCAGUCUCCCCUACCGAACUCUAGCCUGCCCGUAUCGGCUGCAAGCCCACAGUUAAGCCAUGGGUUUUCACAGCCGACGCAACAAGCCGCCUACGAGCUCUUUACGCCCAAUAAUUCCGGACAACGCUCGCGCCCUACGUCUUACCGCGGCUGCUGGCAC